rnacentral:rRNA from 1 species
UUGGAGGGCAAGUCUGGUGCCAGCAGCCGCGGUAAUUCCAGCUCCAAUAGCGUAUAUUAAAGUUGUUGCAGUUAAAAAGCUCGUAGUUGAAUUUCGAGAUCGGCUUACUGGUCGUGCUUUUGUACGUACUGGUAAAUCGGUUUCUCCUUUCUGACGAACUUUAAUGCCAUUAAUUUGGUGUUUUAGGGAAUCAGGACUGUUACUUUGAAAAAAUUAGAGUGUUUAAAGCAGGCUCACGCUUGAAUACAUUAGCAUGGAAUAACGGAAUAGGACGUUUGAUUCUAUUUUGUUGGUUUCUAGGAUCGACGUAAUGAUUAAUAGGGAUAGUUGGGGGCAUUAGUAUUCAAUUGUCAGAGGUGAAAUUCUUGGAUUUAUUGAAGACUAACUACUGCGAAAGCAUUUGCCAAGGAUGUUUUCAUUAAUCAAGAACGAAAGUUAGGGGAUCGAAGACGAUCAGAUACCGUCGUAGUCUUAACCAUAAACUAUNCCGACUAGGGAUCGGAUGAUGUUAAUUUUUUAAUGACUCAUUCGGCGCCUUACGGGAAA